GGUGCCGCCUCCUAAGCAAGGCCGCGGCCGGGCCGGGGCCAUGGGCACGGCGGGCGGCGGUGGUACCCUGCGGCUGCCGGGCUUGCACGGCUACGCGGCGGAGUUCUCGCCCUACUGGCCGGGGCGCGUGGCCUGCGCCGCCGCGCAGUACUACGGCAUCGCAGGUUGUGGAACUCUGGCAGUGCUGGAACAAAAUGAAACUGGGAUUGUCCUACUCAGGAGCUUUGACUGGAAUGAUGGCCUGUUUGACGUGACAUGGAGCGAGAAUAACGAGCACGUGUUGAUUACUUCUAGCGGGGAUGGAUCUCUGCAAAUCUGGGAUAUAGCUAAGCCCAAAGGUCCACUGCAAGUCUAUAAGGAGCACACUCAGGAGGCAUAUAGUGUUGACUGGAGCCAAACAAGAGGAGAGCAGCUAGUGGUGUCUGGCUCAUGGGAUCAAACAGCCAAGCUGUGGGAUCCAGCGGUGGGAAAGUCUUUACGCACUUUUAAAGGCCAUGAAGGGGUCAUUUACAGCACUAUAUGGUCUCCGCACAUCCCUGGCUGUUUUGCAUCUGCUUCAGGUGACCAGACUUUAAGAAUUUGGGAUGUGAAAGCCCCAGGAGUCAGACUUGUGAUACCAGCCCACCAGGCUGAGAUCUUGAGCUGUGACUGGUGCAAGUAUGAUGAGAACUUGCUGGUAACUGGUGCAGUUGACUGCAGUUUGAAAGGCUGGGAUCUGAGAAAUGUCCGGCAGCCAGUGUUCAUCCUCCUUGGUCAUACCUAUGCUGUCAGAAGAGUAAAAUUUUCGCCAUUCCAUGCAACUUUAUUGGCCUCUUGCUCCUAUGAUUUUACUGUGAGAUUCUGGGACUUUUCCAAGCCUAACCCUUUGCUGGAAACGGUCGAGCAUCAUACUGAGUUCACAUGUGGACUAGAUUUAAGCCUUCACAAAUGUGGCCAGGUGGUAGACUGUGCUUGGGAUGAACUUGUCAAGAUCUACACUCCAUCAUGUCUGGCAGCUGCUGUCUAGAGAGAAAUUGAACAUCUGACACACUGGGAACCUUUUUGUCAUCAUCCACAAUGAGACUUGUGCUAAACUGUCAAUUGUGUCACUAAUCUUUGUGUCUCUUUUCAAGUAAAAGCCUGAACUGAAGUGUUCUGCACUUGAGCUUGUAGACUUGUUCUACUAUACUAGCAGUACUUGGAUCAGCAAAACGUUCAACAGCUACUGAAUGGCUAAGGAGUGACAGAAGCAGAUCUGAACUGGUAUCUUCAGAACUACCAACAGAAUUUUGUGAUUUGUCUGGCUAAUGAUGCAAGCAGAGACCAGAAUCUUCUUGAUCCUUGUAAAGAAUAAAAGUAGCUGGCGGUGCAUUUGAAGAUUGUCACUAUGGAGAAAGAAGAGUUUUUUCACUACGAAGUACUCUAAUGUCAACCUGAGGCUUGUAUCCCUGAGAUCCAUUUAUAUUGAAUUGUUUUGCUGUGACUCACAUUGCAUUAUCUUCUUGUGCCGUAUGAUGAAUACUCUCAAUAGACAGUAAAUGUCAUAGUUUAUAGCCAACUCCAUUCCUUUAACCUUUUUGAUUGCUGCUUCACAGAGAUGGUAAAGAUUAUGUUCAUACAUUUUUCCCUUGGACCUCCUUGAGUAAAACAGUUAAUGAAGUCAUGCAGAAAAAUACUCUAGAGAAAUAGAGAAAACACUUAGGAAAAAAUGAAUUACAAACAACCAUAAUUGGAUCACAAUCUUCAAGAUUUAGAGAUAUGAUAACCAUCUCUUCUAUUAGACUUAUCUUUUACUUUCACUUAGAGAGUUUUUCCAAGAGAUAGGAGUGUGGCCAUACAUUCAGCAUUUCUGGACCUCUCACAGUCUGGCCAAAGUGAGAGCUGAUAUCCAGACCACUUGAACCUACGUACAUGUGGAUUAACUGCAUGGCAUAAGCACAGUAGCUCCAGAGUAGCCAAGCUAUUAACAGAUGUGCAAGGAUAUGCCCAACAUUUUAUAGCUGUAGUAGCUAUAAACUGACUAGUUUCUGUGCUCACUUUGACUCCCGAGUUCGUGUGGUACGAUUUUGGCAGAAGGGCUGGAACUAGAUCAUCUUUAAAGUCCUUUCCAACCCAAGUCUCUUGUCUUGGUUUCGUGCUAGCCAUUCACACCCUUCCUUUUUUUUUUUUUCUUUUUUUCACAAACCUUAUUAAAACUGUCUCAUUUCUGCUGCUACCCCAUAUCAUCAGACUUUAAAAAUUGCAGGGGCUAGGUCUUUGGCCAGGUUUUUAUAGUCUUCUGUUAAUGAAUGCUGUAUGCUUCUGGGUUGCACCACUCAUCUAUCAAGCAAUAGCAGACACUGCCAGACCUGCUGGAUGAAGAAAUGACAGAAAGAAUUCAGCAGAGCUAAGACUUGUGAGUUGUGAGGAAAGAAUUAUUGUGCCAUCUUGGAGAAUGAGCCUGGGAGCUAGCAGGCAGCCACAGGGCAAUAUGGAUAUAUUGACUCAGUGCUAGGGCAAGACAGAAGGAAACCCCCUUUCACAAGACGAAGAAUUUGGAUCAUGAUAAGUUUUUCUGGAUCAUGGCAAUCUGACUCUGGAUUGCCAUUUUCUUAAGGUUAGCUUCUGUGCUGAAGGUUGCUGGGAUUUAACGCUCCUGAAAAAUGGAUGAAUCCAGAAGAUGUGCAAAGUGAACAAAAACUGUGGCCUUUACUCUUCCUGUUUGAUCUUUGAAGGGAGAGAACGUGCUGUAGUCCUUUGCACUGUAACAGAAAGCAAAUCUGUCAGUAGUUGUUGCUGAAUCUUGAUUCUCAGGGAAUUGUUUUAAAGAUUUUUUUCUCCCAUUUAAUGACCACAGUACAAGCUUCUGAUCCUUGUUUUUUAUUUAUUGAAAUGGGCCUUUUACUACGGCAAUCUUGAAGAUACACAUUCUACUUUUAAACUUGCGCUUGUGGAAGAUUUUGGUUUAUGGGAGUGUAUAGGUUUCUUCUCGGUUCAAGAGACAUACUGAUUAAUCAUGUUUUAAAGGAGUGGAUUUGUUAUUCUGCAAUGCUAUUAAAUUAAUUGCAUACAGUA